rnacentral:tRNA from 1 species
AUUCAAAUAGCUUAAAUGAAGAGUGUGACAUUGAAGCUGUCAAGGAAAAUUAAUAUUUUUUGAAUA